AGAGGAAUCGAGUCAGGUCACCUUGGGCAAGUUUCUUAAAUCUCCCUGAGGUUCCGUUUCCUCCUUUACGAAAGGGGAAUGACAACGUCGACUCUCUCCGGGAUUACUGUACGAGUGAUGAUAAAAGGACCCGUGGUGUCCUUCUUAGAAGGAUGACUCCUGGAGUUUCAACCCUACGCUAAGAGAAGCUGACCAGAGAUUCUAUUACCACCCCUGCCUGCCGCUGCCCUCUUGGUUGCCAGAAGGGGGCACUGAGGAGCAGGGAGACAGCAAGGGGCCCAAUCCCAGCAUCAGGAAGUACCUUGAGAGGAGGUGUGGAGUGAGGCUGGGAAACGCAGAGAUCAAGCCCCCAGCUAAAACCCAGUAAGACGUACCCCUCCUCCCUCAGGCGUGGAGGCAGCCUGGGAAUUUGCAGCCAGGGACUGCUGGGACAUAGGGACGCUGUUACAGAAAUGCACACCCUUAAACAAACUGGAAUUUCCAGUCUCCUCAAUCCCCUUCUAUUAUUUUCUACCCAGUUACCGUGCUGGGACUGUUUUAUCUUUUAAAAAAGCUGUCCUGAAACUUUCCUUCUCUUCUUGAU